CUAGUCUUGUAAACUAGAGAUGAGACUCAUAACCCCUAGGACA
rnacentral:tRNA from 1 species